rnacentral:rRNA from 1 species
GAUGAACGCUAGCGGGAGGCCUAAUACAUGCAAGUCGAACGGUAAGGUCCCUUCGGGGAUACACGAGUGGCGGACGGGUGCGUAACGCGUACGAAACAUACCUUCAACAGGGAGAUACCUCCGGGAAACUGGAAAUAAUACCCCAUAGUACUUGAGAUAUCGCAUGAUAUUUCAAUUAAAGCUUUGGCGGUUGAAGAUUGUCGUGCGUCUGAUUAGCUAGUUGGUGAGGUAACGGCUCACCAAGGCGACGAUCAGUAGCUGGUCUGAGAGGAUGAUCAGCCACACUGGAACUGAGACACGGUCCAGACUCCUACGGGAGGCAGCAGUAGGGAAUAUUGGACAAUGGGCGGAAGCCUGAUCCAGCCAUCCCGCGUGUAGGAAUAAGGCCCUAU